GAGACAUCUCCUAGUGUGAAAAACUCCGGUGGUACAGGAUGGGCCCGCGUCUGAUUAGCUGGUUGGCAGGGUAACGGCCUACCAAGGCAACGAUCAGUAGCCGGUCUGAGAGGAUGAACGGCCACAUUGGAACUGAGACACGGUCCAAACUCCUACGGGAGGCAGCAGUGGGGAAUAUUGCACAAUGGGGGAAACCCUGAUGCAGCAACGCCGCGUGAGUGAAGAAGUAUUUCGGUAUGUAAAGCUCUAUCAGCAGGGAAGAUAAUGACGGUACCUGACUAAGAAGCUCCGGCUAAAUACGUGCCAGCAGCCGCGGUAAUACGUAUGGAGCAAGCGUUAUCCGGAUUUACUGGGUGUAAAGGGUGCGUAGGUGGCAGUGCAAGUCAGAUGUGAAAGGCCGGGGCUCAACCCCGGAGCUGCAUUUGAAACUGCUCGGCUAGAGUACAGGAGAGGCAGGCGGAAUUCCUAGUGUAGCGGUGAAAUGCGUAGAUAUUAGGAGGAACACCAGUGGCGAAGGCGGCCUGCUGGACUGUUACUGACACUGAGGCACGAAAGCGUGGGGAGCAAACAAAGUUAGAUACCCUGGUAGUCCACGCCGUA
rnacentral:rRNA from 1 species